rnacentral:tRNA from 1 species
ACUAGAUUGGCAGAUUAAGUGUAUUAAAUUUAGAGUUUAACAAUGUAUUUUUACAUCUAGUA